CCUGGCGGCAAUAGAGCAUUGGUACCACCUGAUUCCAUACCGAACUCAGAAGUGAAACGAUGCAUCGCCGAUGGUAGUGUGGGGCUUCCCAUGUGAGAGUAGGUCACUGUCAGGC
rnacentral:rRNA from 1 species